GACGAACGCUGGCGGCGUGCUUAACACAUGCAAGUCGAACGGAAAGGCCCUGCUUUUGUGGGGUGCUCGAGUGGCGAACGGGUGAGUAACACGUGAGUAACCUGCCCUUGACUUUGGGAUAACUUCAGGAAACUGGGGCUAAUACCGGAUAGGAGCUCCUGCUGCAUGGUGGGGGUUGGAAAGUUUCGGCGGUUGGGGAUGGACUCGCGGCUUAUCAGCUUGUUGGUGGGGUAGUGGCUUACCAAGGCUUUGACGGGUAGCCGGCCUGAGAGGGUGACCGGACACAUGGGGACGGAGAUGGGGCCCGGACUCCAGGGGGAGGCGAGGGGGGGAAUUGUUGCAGAGGGGGGGGAGGCUGUAGGCGACACCCCCGGGGGGGGGAGGGGGACUUGGGGUUUGGAAACCGUUUCCCCUGGGGAAGGGGGGGGAGGGAGGGUAGGGGAAAAAGAAGCCCCGGCAAACUACGUG
rnacentral:rRNA from 1 species